GGUAGGUAGGUAGGUAGAAAUAAUUAUAUGAAAGCCCACUUAAGGCAAUCUUUUAGGGAGCAUGAAUAAACAGAGGAAACUAUUCACUUUAAGAGGAAGAGUGAGCCCCAUAGCGGAAUUAAUUGUAUACUCGAAGAGAAGUGGACACCCCCAACAAGAAUGAGCACCUCUUUGCAGAAAUUAGAAAGGGUUUGUCUCCCAGCUUUACAGAUUGUGUAGAGAUAGUUUAAC